rnacentral:rRNA from 1 species
AGAGUUUGAUCCUGGCUCAGAAUCAACGCUGGCGGCGUGCCUAACACAUGCAAGUCGAACGCGAAAGCCCCGCAAGGGGUAAGUAGAGUGGCAAACGGGUGAGUAACACGUGGGUGACCUGCCUUCGAGUGGGGGAUAACGUCCCGAAAGGGACGCUAAUACCGCAUGACAUCCUGCCUUUGAACAGGUGGAGAUCAAAGCUGGGGAUCGCAAGACCUAGCGCUCAAAGAGGGGCCCGCGCCUGAUUAGCUAGUUGGUGGGGUAACGGCUCACCAAGGCGACGAUCAGUAUCCGGCCUGAGAGGGCGGGCGGACACACUGGGACUGAGACACGGCCCAGACUCCUACGGGAGGCAGCAGUGGGGAAUUGUUCGCAAUGGGCGCAAGCCUGACGACGCAACGCCGCGUGGAGGAUGAAGAUCUUCGGGUCGUAAACUCCUUUCGAUCGAGACGAAUGAUCUCCGGGUGAACAAUCCGGAGGAAUGACGGUACCGAGAGAAGAAGCCCCGGCUAACUCCGUGCCAGCAGCCGCGGUAAUACGGGGGGGGCAAGCGUUGUUCGGAAUUACUGGGCGUAAAGGGCUCGUAGGCGGCCAACUAAGUCAGACGUGAAAUCCCUCGGCUUAACCGGGGAACUGCGUCUGAUACUGGUUGGCUUGAAUCCGGGAGAGGGAUGUGGAAUUCCAGGUGUAGCGGUGAAAUGCGUAGAUAUCUGGAGGAACACCGGUGGCGAAGGCGGCAUCCUGGACCGGUAUUGACGCUGAGGAGCGAAAGCCAGGGGAGCAAACGGGAUUAGAUACCCCCGUAGUCC